CUCCCCAGGGCGAUUGGGGUCUGCCCCUUUCUUCCCCACGCACGCGACCUGCUCUCUCUAUGGUUCCCUCUCCCACACGCCUCCUCAAGCGACCCCACCUCACGCUCCCGAUGCUGCGCCGACACCUCCUCCCCUUCUCUCACGGCCUCUACGAGCAUCCGCAAAUCCUCCCUCUUCCCUAAUCUCCUUCCUUUUGCCUCUCAAUCACGAAUCAGGAUCCAUGGAGGUGUCCGACAAGUGCUACUCGAUCUGCUAUAAGGCAGCGGCGGGGAACACCGGCCGUUGGUCUGCCUCUCGAUGCUCAUCCUCCGGGAGGCUGCGCGCGGAGCCUGCCGCUGAACUUCGCCUCCACAUCGCCAUGAAGGUGGUUCUUCUUCUUCGCUGACCUGUUCAUCCAUCGCUCGUCUUGUUCGUCUCUCUGUUCUCCGGUCCUCGUCGUCGUCAAGUGUUGACGCCCAGGAUAAUCGAGCAUCUGACUUGACUUGUUGGUCAGUGACAGGGUUUGGUGACCAUGCACUGAGAUUCUCAACCACAUUGCUAAGUUUGGGAUUGGCAUCAUCGGUUCAUAAUCAAGUUUGACUCGUUAUCUAAUCUGCUGGGCAUAUCGACUCUGCGGCUAAGUGCCAUGUUUACUUAUUUUAUACACUAUACAGUGAUGGUGAAAGACUUGAAGUAGAUCAUGCUAGCAUUUUCCCAAUGUGAUGACUAUGACCAAUAGUUAGCCUGCACAUCUUACUUUCAAUGCCUUCGAUCACACCGUCGCCACCUAAAAGGUAUGCGCCCUCGCCCCCUUUUAUUCUCUUGCCCUUUCCGCCUUGCUGGGAGAAGAUGUAUGUGUGUUCUGUUUUAGACAAUGGUGUUCAUGUAAGCGCGUUCACGCCAUGUUCCCAAGUACUAUGUUCUCUUUUAUUUCUGGAAUCGUGUCUAUUCGCACAAGUACUAUGCACACAGCAACACAUGGUCUAUACUGCUGCAAAUUGUUCUACGUUAGCUUUGAAUCUGUUAGUGAAGUUGUUAUUGUAUGGUAACGGUGUACUUUUAUGGGCUGAUUAAUAGAAUGGAUCUGUAUGUGCUAUAGAUAGCUAAUCCUUUGCAACAAUUUAAUAAGAUGCUGAAAUCAAAGGCGUGGCCUCUAUUUGAUCAGCACGGUAUGCUAUAAAACCGAGAAGAAGAGAAGGAGGAGUAUGGGUGUGAUUUGCUUCUGUUUUCGUUAUAUAAUUGUAGGCUCUGUUGGUACCAAUUUUUUUUUCUGGUGUAAAUUUUUGCUCUUGCGAUUUGUCUCUUGUAAUUAUCUUGAAUCCUACAGUCAGUUGCAUUUUUGGUUCCUACAGUCAGUUGCAUUUUUGGUACCAGGUGAGAGUUUGGUCCUGCAAUUCGGUUCCUACAGUCAGUUGCAUUUUUCUUGUAUGAAAUUAAAGUGUCGUAGUUUAUCAAUAUCACCCAAUUGGACCAUCUGACAUUUCAUAAGCUUUAUCAGUACUAUGUUCUCCUUAGCUGUACUGCUGCUCCAACUGAAGGUUUGCUCUCAGUUUCAGAUCUUCCUGAGUUAUUCCAGAAUCUAUUAUGCUCUUUUACAUUGAAUUCCUUGGGUUGAAACUGUGAGUUGUGCCUAUUUUUAAUUCUAAAAUAUAUCUGCUCUGUCUAGAGAAGGUAGAACGACAAGGUUAUUCAGAUGUUUUACAGUAUCUGAUAUGCCCCUUAAUUAGUAAGGUUGGCUCACAAGCUUGGGUCCUGAGCCACAAGAACUCGAGAAAGGCAUCAUACAUUCCUUUUUUUGCAAGGCACUGACAACUUCAGAUACGAUUGCCCAUGGUGGGUUCUCCAUUCGUAGGAGACAUGCUGAAAAGUGUCUUCCUCUGCCAACUAGCAUUGAGAACAUGUUUUUUACUCCAGUUGAUGUCUGCACAAUUUCUGGCUUAUUGAAUUGUAUGGUUGCUUUGCAGGACAUGUCUCAGAACCCCCCAUGUCAACAACUGGUAGCCAAAGAUCUUCAUGGAAAUGAGUGGCAUUUUCGUCACAUUUUUUGUGGUGAUUUUAGAAUUUGAGUAUUCAGCUUGAAUACCCUUUGAACUUUCUGUCGUUCUGUUCUUAUUGUUUUCGUAUAGCGGUAGAUGUCACAAUUGAAUGUUGAAUUCUUAUCACUGCAGAAAAUUGCAGCAUAUAGUGAUUCAUUACUUCUUGAGUAUGUUGAACUGUAUCCCUGUCUUGUUCUAUCUCAUGCCUUCCGGUGUUUUGUGUUUCA